GAGUUUGAUCUUGGCUCAGAUUGAACGCUGGCGGCAUGCCUUACACAUGCAAGUCGAACGGCAGCACGGGGGCAACCCUGGUGGCGAGUGGCGAACGGGUGAGUAAUGCAUCGGAACGUGUCCUCUUGUGGGGGAUAACCAGUCGAAAGACUGGCUAAUACCGCAUGAGAUCGAGAGAUGAAAGCAGGGGACCCGCAAGGGCCUUGCGCGAGAGGAGCGGCCGAUGCCCGAUUAGCUAGUUGGUGGGGUAAAGGCCCACCAAGGCGACGAUCGGUAGCUGGUCUGAGAGGACGGGCCAGCCACACUGGGACUGAGACACGGCCCAGACUCCUACGGGAGGCAGCAGUGGGGAAUUUUGGACAAUGGGGGAAACCCUGAUCCAGCCAUGCCGCGUGUGCGAAGAAGGCCUCGGUUGU
rnacentral:rRNA from 1 species